rnacentral:rRNA from 1 species
AAUAGAUACCCGGGUAGUCCACGCCGUAAACGUUGGGCGAUAGGUGUGGGGUCCGUUCCACGGGUUCCGUGCCGCAGCUAACGCAUUAAGCGCCCCGCCUGGGGAGUACGGCCGCAAGGCUAAAACUCAAAGGAAUUGACGGGGGCCCGCACAAGCGGCGGAGCAUGCGGAUUAAUUCGAUACAACGCGAAAAACCUUACCAAGGCUUGACAUGGGCGGUAAUCCGGUAGAGAUGUCGGGUCCGUAAGGGCCGUUCACAGGUGGUGCAUGGUUGUCGUCAGCUCGUGUCGUGAGAUGUUGGGUUAAGUCCCGCAACGAGCGCAACCCUUGUUCCAUGUUGCCAGCACUUCGGGUGGGGACUCAUGGGAGACUGCCGGGGUCAACUCGGAGGAAGGUGGGGAUGACGUCAAAUCAUCAUGCCCCUUAUGUCUUGGGCUUCACGCAUGCUACAAUGGCCAGUACAAAGGGCUGCGAGACCGUGAGGUGGAGCGAAUCCCAAAAGCUGGUCUCAGUUCGGAUCGGGGUCUGCAACUCGACCCCGUGAAGUCGG